rnacentral:tRNA from 1 species
GCGGUGGUAACUCAACGGUAGAGUAACAGCCUUCCAAGCUGUAGGUUGCGGGUUCAAGUCCCGUCCGCCGCU